GACGAACGCUGGCGGCGUGCUUGACACAUGCAAGUCGAACGGAAAGGCCUGCUUUCCCUUGUGGAUUGCGGGUACUCGAGUGGCGAACGGGUGAGUAACACGUGAGUGAUCUGCCCCCAACUUGGGUAUAAGCCUGGGAAACUGGGUCUAAUUCCCGAUAGGACUGCAGGGUGGUGCCUGUGGUGGAAAACGAUUUUCUAGUGGUUGGGGAUGAGCUCGCGGCCUAUCAGCUUGUUGGUGGGGUAAUGGCCUACCAAGGCGGCGACGGGUAGCCGGCCUGGGAGGGUGGACGGCCACAUUGGGACUGAGAUACGGCCCAGACUGCAACGAGAGGCAGCAGUGGGGAAUAUUGCACAAUGGGCGGAAGCCUGAUGCAGCGACGCCGCGUGGGGGAUGACGGCCUUCGGGUGGUAAACUCCUUUCGACCGCGAGGAAGCCACCUGGUUGGAAGGGUGGUGACGGUAGUGGUAGAAGAAGCACCGGCUAACUACGUG
rnacentral:rRNA from 1 species